UAGACUUAUGCGACGAACACAAGGACACUUGAAACUAAGGGUAGAUGUGAACCUAACGGCAUGUCUGAAGCAUUGAUUACCACUUGAGGAGAACAAGUGUGGCCCGAUAUUCCGAAAGUUUCUGGUAACUAUCGAUUUGGUGGAAACGAGAGACAUAUCAAUCCAGUUUGCGAACAACACAAUUCGAAACCCUACAAUUCUUUUUUUUUUUGAUAUUUUUCUUUUACUUAGGAGCACUCAAGAAGUAACCACAGGAAAUUUGAGCUUAAACAAGUGAAAGACGUGGCCUGUGGAAAUUUUUGAAGAUUGUG
rnacentral:lncRNA from 1 species